UACGUAGGGUGGCGAGCGUUAAUCGGAAUUACUGGGCGUAAAGCGUGCGCAGGCGGCGCCGCAAGUCCGAGUGUGAAAUCCCCGAGCCUUAACUUGGGAAUUGCGCUCGAAACUACGGUGCUGGAGUGUGGCAGAGGGAGGUGGAAUUCCACGUGUAGCGGUGAAAUGCGUAGAGAUCGGGAGGAAGGCCGGUGGCGAAGGCGGCGCUCUGGAACGUACCUGACGCUGAGGCGCGAAAGCGUGGGGAGCAAACAGG
rnacentral:rRNA from 1 species